rnacentral:rRNA from 1 species
UACAGAGGAGCCAAGCGUUGUCCGGAUUGACUGGGCGUAAAGGGCGCGUAGGCGGAAUGGCAAGUCGGUCGUGAAAUCCUUCGGCUCAACCGAAGAACGUCGAUCGAAACUGCCGUUCUUGAGGAUUGCAGAGGAGACUGGAAUUCCCGGUGUAGCGGUGAAAUGUGUAGAGAUCGGGAGGAACACCGGUGGCGAAGGCGGGUCUCUGGGCAAUUCCUGACGCUGAGGCGCGAAAGCGUGGGGAACAAACGGG